UAUCUCUGUAGAGUCUGCAUAUCAAUAAGCGGAGGAAAAGAAACUAACAAGGAUUCCCUUAGUAACGGCGAGUGAAGCGGGAAGAGCUCAAAUUUGAAAUCUUCAAGGUUCUACCUUGACGAAUUGUAGUUUAAAGAAGUGUUUUCUGUUGGUGUUUUGGUAAAAGUUCUUUGGAAUAGGACAUCAUAGAGGGUGAGAAUCCCGUAUUUGACCAUUAUUUCCAGCUUUGUGAUACACUUUCAAAGAGUCGGAUUGUUUGGGAAUGCAGUCCAAAAUGGGUGGUAAAUUUCAUCUAAAGCUAAAUACUGGCGAGAGACCGAUAGCGAACAAGUACCGUGAGGGAAAGAUGAAAAGAACUUUGAAAAGAGAGUUAAACAGUACGUGAAAUUGUCAAAAGGGAAGCGUUUGACACCAGUGUUGUUUUCUCGAAAAUCAAUUAAAAAAGGCAGGAUUUUGUGUUGUAUUGACUUUAUCAGCUUUCUGCACUCUUUUCUUGUCUUUUUUAAUGCACUUUUCGUUUAACAAGUCAACAUCAAUUUCUUUUGUUGUAAAAGGGUCAUUGGAAGGUGGCUUUCUUUUCGGAGAAAGUGUUUAUAGCCUUUGGCCUCUGCAAUCGGAGAGAUUGAGGUCUGCAGCGUAGAUCCUUCGGGGUUAGAUACAUUUGUGCUAAGUUAUAGCCUUUCAUAGACAACUUGUUGACUAUGAUCAGUCAUGUAGCUUACUCGCUUAUGCUAUUUUACCUACGCUUAGGAUGUUGAAGAUGUAGCACAUCAU
rnacentral:rRNA from 1 species